rnacentral:misc_RNA from 1 species
CACCAAUCAAGCCUGGCUUGGUAUUGGGCGACGGGGCCGUCACACGCCCCGCGCCCCAAUGACUCCCCGGCGGGACGUUACCGUAUCUCAGCGUUGUGGUCAAAAGCCGCUGGCGAGACGGGGCGGCCGUGCCGUUAAACCUCUCUUCUGUAA